rnacentral:rRNA from 1 species
AGCCGCAAUUCGUGSUAAGGUAGCAUAAUCACUUGUUCUUUAAAUAAGGACUAGAACAAAAGAUUUAACAUUUCAAUAAAUUUCUUUAAUUCUAAAAUUAAAUUUAUUCUAAAUGUAAAAAGACAAUUAUAUUACAGAAAGACGACAAGACCCUACCGAACUUUACUUUAGUUUUACUGGGGCAGUAAAUUAAUUAUAAUUUUAAUUUAAUUAAAAUAUUAUUAAUCCAAUUUCAUUGAUUAAAUCAGUUACCAUAGGGAUAACAGUGCAAUAAUUAUUUAAAGUUCUCAUUUAAAAAAUAGAUUGCAACCUCGAUGUUGAAUUAAUAGCCUAUUUAAAAGCAAUAUUUAUAAAAGGAAGUCUGUUCGACUUUUAAAAAAUUACAUGAUUUGAGUUCAGACCGGUAUAAGCCAGGUCGGUUUCUAUCUUCUUAAAUUUUUCUUUACAGUACGAAAGGACCUAUAGAUAUAUAUUAUAUAUCUUAUUAGCAAAUAAAUGCAUUAGAAUUAGAAUCUAAUUAAAUA